UUUAGCCACCUUCCUCCACGUUUGGGUGUGCGCCCGCGUAUAUGGACAUAACAUCUGUGUGUGUGUGUGUAUGUGUGUGUGUGCGUGUAUGUGUGUGUGUGUGUGGACACUCUGUGUGCAUGUGUAUCAGGAGAAUGUGGUGGAAAGAGUGACAGCUCUCUUAGUCUUUCUUCAUAGAAAUGACAGGAAGUUUAUGAGAUGCCUUCAGUAUAAGAGCUUUCCCAAGGAUCAAAAGGAUUCCUAGAAUUCAUCAACUCUAUCAUUCUGUCCACACUGCCUACGUUCUAAAGAAAGUAUCCUCUUCAAAUAGUUUCCCGUCAUCUCAAAACCAUAUAUAUGACCAGAGGAUUUUUCUCAGUAUUUAAUCAGCAUCUUACUUAAAUACGUUUCUCCUUUGUCCUCAGUGAAUGAAGUGAAGAGACAUCCCAUCUCCCUUGAGUGAAAACUGUUCUCUCCUCAGUGACUCUGGGUAAAACUGCUCACUGAGGGCCAAAAGAACGACAUCGCAAGUCAUCCCAGGCCACAUCACGGCAUGGCACAGUGGUGACAUCACAGAAACCAGCUAAGCUCUUCAUGCGAAGGGCAGAGCCGGCACUCAAGCCCUGAGCCACUGUCACGCGCAAACACCAGCUCAGUAUUUUCUACCUGAGGAGACUGCUCAGGACGUAGACAUCAGAAGGAGUGAGUCAGGCCUCCCAAGCAUAUGCUUCGUUCCUAAGCCAAGCAAACUGCCACAGUAGGAGCCUGGCUUCGGGACACAGUCCCUGGCCCCUGAGUGAGAUGCGCAUCUGAGGCAGUCAAGAGGAAUAAGCCUUGUGUUUUCAUUCUUCUCACCCUGGGGGCUGCCCAGCUAUGCCCUUGUGGGGCCUGGGAGUCUGGUGGGUCUCAAAGUGCACCACCUGCUCCCUUUGGAAAUAGGCUGCUCUCUCCUGGUUUGAAUCCUCACAACCUUCCCCCUACAACUCCUUUUGAUCAGAAGUUGGUGGAUGGCACGUAUAGGAUAGAUGACAUUGAUGUACUCUGGUCAUUUCACAGCCUCCCACAGCCCGGGCAUCCUGGCAGUGGGAUUAUUUUAGUGGUAUCUGGGGAAGGACCCUUGGCCAUGAGCUGCACUGGUCACUGGUGGCCUGGAACCCAGUGUCCUGAGGAGCUGGACCUGAGGGGCAGUGGCUCCCCAGUCCCCAGCCCAUGCACAGCUCUUUCAGGAGAGAUCGAGGCAGGGUUUGGAACACAGUGAAAGCAUGAAAAUAGGAGACGAAUAUCCACACCUGGACACGGCUGAUCCAAUUGGUUUGGGACAUUCUGCUCAGCCUGCAGCCGGCACACCCAGACUUGCCUGGUCUUGGUCCUCUGUUACCCACCACAGAAACUGAUUUCCCCAAAUCUAGCCCUGAACUAAUAGGAGUUAUUACUGCAGCCCAAUACAACUACACCUCUCUCUGUGUAAUACUUGCAUCCCUAAAGAGUAGCAUUGUCAAUUGUGAAUAUUUAAUGAAUUGUAUCACAUUUUUAAAUGUAGAA